rnacentral:rRNA from 1 species
UUUAUGGAGAGUUUGAUCCUGGCUCAGGAUGAACGCUGGCGGCGUGCCUAAUACAUGCAAGUCGAGCGAACGGACGAGAAGCUUGCUUCUCUGAUGUUAGCGGCGGACGGGUGAGUAACACGUGGAUAACCUACCUAUAAGACUGGGAUAACUUCGGGAAACCGGAGCUAAUACCGGAUGAUAUUUUGAACCGCAUGGUUCAAAAGUGAAAGACGGUCUUGCUGUCACUUAUAGAUGGAUCCGCGCUGCAUUAGCUAGUUGGUAAGGUAACGGCUUACCAAGGCAACGAUGCAUAGCCGACCUGAGAGGGUGAUCGGCCACACUGGAACUGAGACACGGUCCAGACUCCUACGGGAGGCAGCA